UCGGGAAUGGUGUAACGGUAGCACUGCAGAUUCUGGAUCUGCCUGUCUAGGUUCGAAUCCUAGUUCCCGAA
rnacentral:tRNA from 1 species